ensembl:lncRNA novel transcript
CCCCUUUUGCUCUCGCUCUCUCCUGCUGACAGUGAGAAGAUGGGCUUGCUUCCCCUUCACCCUUUGCCAGGAUUGUAAGUUUCCUGAGGCUUCUGUACAGCCUGCAGAACUAUGAGCAUGCAGAGGUCAGGACAAGAGCAGCUGGUCCAGCCACACUGUGUGCACAGGGACAGGCCUGUCUUCACCUGUGCUCACCGGGGCCUCUUCCAGAGGUCUCUGCAGCAGAAAGCAUGUGCUCCACGUACCGGCCCCCAGCGUCCCACCAGACCAGCGCCGAUCCCUGUGGGAGCUGAAGAGGAACUGUGCUGAAUGAGAACAUUUAAAGUGAAUCAUGUGUGGACUCCCUAUGCUCCCUGACUCCUUGUUUAUUUCUACCUUUUCUGGCGGAUGCUAUUAAUAAAAUGCUAGGAAAAUCUUUAAACAUGA